rnacentral:rRNA from 1 species
AUUGAACGCUGGCGGCAUGCCUUACACAUGCAAGUCGAACGGUAACAGGUCUUCGGAUGCUGACGAGUGGCGAACGGGUGAGUAAUACAUCGGAACGUGCCUAGUAGUGGGGGAUAACUACUCGAAAGAGUGGCUAAUACCGCAUGAGAUCUACGGAUGAAAGCAGGGGAUCGCAAGACCUUGUGCUACUAGAGCGGCCGAUGGCAGAUUAGGUAGUUGGUGGGAUAAAAGCUUACCAAGCCGACGAUCCGUAGCUGGUCUGAGAGGACGAUCAGCCACACUGGGACUGAGACACGGCCCAGACUCCUACGGGAGGCAGCAGUGGGGAAUUUUGGACAAUGGGCGCGAGCCUGAUCCAGCAAUGCCGCGUGCAGGAUGAAGGCCUUCGGGUUGUAAACUGCUUUUGUACGGAACGAAAAGCCCUGGGUUAAUACCCUGGGGUCAUGACGGUACCGUAAGAAUAAGCACCGGCUAACUACGUGCCAGCAGCCGCGGUAA